AACUUUUAACAACGGAUCACUUGGCUCUCGCAUCGAUGAAGAACGCAGCGAAAUGCGAUAAGUAAUGUGAAUUGCAGAAUUCAGGGAAUCAUCGAAUCUUUGAACGCACCUUUCGCUCCUUGGUAUUCCGAGGAGCAUGCCUGUUUGAGUGUCAUUAAAUUCUCAACCUUCGAACUGUUAUUAUCUUGGUUAGGGUUGGAUGUGGGGGUUGCGGGCUUCAUUAACGAGGUCGGCUCUCCUUAAAUGUAUUAGCGGAACUUUUGUGGACCGUCUAUUGGUGUGAUAAUUAUCUACGCCGUGGAUGUGAAGCAGCUUUAUGAAGUUCCGCUUCUAACCGUCCCUUGACUUGGACAAUUCUUGACAAUUUGACCUCAAAUCAGGUAGGACUACCCGCUGAACUUAAGCAUAUCAAUAAGCGGAGGCU
rnacentral:misc_RNA from 1 species